AACGAACGCUGGCGGCAUGCCUAACACAUGCAAGUCGAACGAGACCUUCGGGUCCAGUGGCGCACGGGUGCGUAACGCGUGGGAACCUGCCCUUAGGUUCGGAAUAACUCCCCGAAAGGGGUGCUAAUACCGGAUAAUGUCUUCGGACCAAAGAUUUAUCGCCUUUGGAUGGGCCCGCGUUGGAUUAGCUAGUUGGUAGGGUAAAAGCCUACCAAGGCGACGAUCCAUAGCUGGUCUGAGAGGAUGAUCAGCCACACUGGGACUGAGACACGGCCCAGACUCCUACGGGAGGCAGCAGUGGGGAAUAUUGGACAAUGGGCGAAAGCCUGAUCCAGCUAUGCCGCGUGAGUGAUGAAGGCCUUAGGGUUGUAAAGCUCUUUUACCCGGGAUGAUAAUGACAGUACCGGGAGAAUAAGCUCCGGCUAACUCCGUG
rnacentral:rRNA from 1 species